rnacentral:rRNA from 1 species
CCCUUAGAUGUCCUGGGCAGCACGCGUGCUACAAUGAUGCAUUCAACGAGUCUUGCCUUAACCGAAAGGUUCGGGUAAACUUUUGAAAUUGCAUCUUGUCGGGGCUUGAUCAUUGUAAUUUUUGAUCACAAACGAGGAAUUCCUUGUAAAUGUGAGUCAUCAACUUGCAUUGAAUACGUCCCUGCCCUUUGUACACACCGCCCGUCGCUCCUACCGAUUGGAUGAUCCGGUGAGCUGGCCGGACAGGCGGACUGCAUCUGAUGCUCUUCGCUUGGAAGGCUCGCAAACCUUAUCAUUUAGAGGAAGGAGAAGUCGUAACA